CACGCAGGGAGCCCCAUGUGGGACUCGAUCCCGUGACCCCAGGAUCACCCCCUGGGCCGAAGGCCGCCGCUCAACCACUGAGCCACCCACGUGCCCCUACUUAUUUUCUGACAUUUUAGAAGAAUCUCUGAGGAAAUACUUUCGGUGUAGUGCAUGAAAACUCCUAAGGACGAUCGACCACAACAAAGAAUCAUCUGGCAGAAAAUUCCAUUCAUGUUGAGGUGUGAAAACCUGAGUCAGGCCAGGCAACUCCUUCCUGGAAAACCAUUUGAAAAGUACAGAUACAGUGAAGAAAACACUAGAGCUCAUAGCAAUCACAUUUCUUAUGUAGAAAUAUAUUUUUAUAUAAGGACUGAGAUUUUGAUUUUCAUCCAUAUUCAUGGUGCGUCUGAACAACUUAAACAUCAAGCCAGAACAGGCCGAGAGGCCAGGGAACUGGGCUAUCAUGGCAUCACAGACAUGAGUUGCUAUGAAAAACUGAGCAAAUCAUGGCUUGGUCUCCGCGUUUCCUCCCCCUGUUGGGCUGCCAGUGUCUGAGGAUCCUUGCCACCAGGGAUGAAGAAAUGUUGAAGGCAUGGGAAAUUCAUGCUUAUAGUCAUCCUCCAUCACUGCCCGUGUUGCGUGACCAAAACGAAAUCUGUUCAUCUUUCAGCAGAAAUAUCUGAGUGAUCACUGUUGCAAUGAUUUGAAAGGAGGAGUCGUCUCAACAAAGCAGGCCCUGAAGUACAGAGUGUCUCUCAAUAUGUUAUUUUCACUCAACUGUAUGUGUUUGAUGCCCAGAAGCAGUUAAUUCACUUCAAAGAGCCAGGGAAAAUGCACCAAAAGAUCUUAUCGCCUGAUAUCUUGGACACCUAUGGGACGCUAAGAAAAAAAAACUGAAGAAUAGACUGGAGGAGGAAUGGAUGGGCUGCUUCUGCAAGCAUCCCACUUGCCAUGUGGACUUGACUGGACGUAUUGAUUUCCAAGGGAAGUGCUUGAAUGUGUGAAGAAAGGAUCUUUGUUUCUUGUUCACACUAGGGUGAAGCUAGAAAAUACUUGAACAGGAACCUUGGUAUCACCCAUUUAGGUAUCAGCUGAGGUUAUUCAAGAGGAUCUUGCAUUUGCAUUAAGACAUGCAAUUCCAGAAAAAAAAAUGCAAUCAAAGUCUACUAGUUCCACUAUUUGGACAUAUCGGAAUUUUUGCUUUUCACUGACUGUGUUGUCUGACAAUGAGACCAUGCUUGGAGAGCAGGUGCCACAGCGUGUCACCAUCACCUCAUGGGCAUGAGGGACAAUGGUCACUGAGCAGAGCUUGCCUGUCUUCUCCACAAGAUGGCCCAGGGCACACAUUCAUAUGGACAUAUUAAUUUUAGUACAGCGGGCAUCAGAGAAAAUAUGUUUGUAAUAUUUUAUAAUAAAUAAGAAUUCUGGGGAAUGAAAUUUGAUCUUAGUAGUCCACCAUAGAUAAUAGUGGGAAGGUCACAUCUAAAAAGCUAUAGAUCCCCUUACAUAAAUGAAGGAAUACAUUACUUUGUUUUUUAGAAAUUACUAAUGUUGAAAAGCAUUUAAAAAUAAAACUUAUAAAGAUAAGCCAUCUUUAGUUACCUUUUCAAAAAAUAAUAUAUUUAUAUAUUUUGAGCACUCACUAUGGCCCAGGCACUUCUACUGUCUGGGUAGCUUUUGGGUUCCAUUAUGAAGUCGCUCUGUUUCUAAACUCCCUUCUGCACUUAUUGUUCAAGGAAAGGAAUAACCCUUCUUAGACUGUCUCUCCUUCAAUGUUUUGACAAUGUCAUCAUCUCUUGUUUCCAAAACUCAAGAUGAUAGUUUUAACACUGCAUGUGCAGGAGUUUGACUAUAUACGUCUAUAUUCUAGACUCAAAGGAUAUGUGGAAUAAAUAACCUGCUUUAUUGCCUUAAACCUUUAUUCCUCAUAGACUAAAGAUAAACUGCCAUAAGAGAAACGAAAACAGAAAUAGGAACUAUACAUACCAUUGUGUUUAAAGAAUUUGCAUUCUUGUUAAUUCAUUCAAGUGAAGCACCUACAAUGGGAAACAAAGAAUUAUUCUCAAAGGCUAUUCAAAUGCUUCUACAAGAGACCACAUGGUGCCAUAGGAAAUCAAUGUCUUGCCAUGAAUGGUAAGCUGUUUACCUUUUAUGAACUUUCUGUAAUUCAUUGCACCUUUCUUUUAUCUGUUUCUCAGUUUUGUUUCUCAUAAAAGAAAGGUAUUAUUUCAAAGAGGAAAGGUGAGUUUGAAAACCAAAAUCUUUCAUCUGCUCUUAAGCAGGAGUCUGGGUGUUACAGCGUGAGGGAUGGGGUGCAGGCACUAGGUGUGUAUGUGUUUGAAUAUAUAUUUACCUUUAUAAUCACUGUGAUAGAAUGCAAGUUGAAGGUUUAAAAAAGAUAUUUAAGAAUAAUUCAGAAUUGGGCACCUGGAUGGCUCAGUUGGUUAAGUGUCUGCCUUCAGCUCAGGUUAUGAUG